CUGGGAGCAGCCAGCUUUUUAAAAUCAGCUUUUCUGGUCAUUACAUGCACUGACUCAUGCUUUUAUACACAGAAAUACUAGACAUUGGACAAUAAAAGGAAGCCACACUGGAAGGAGAGACUAGAAGCAAGGUCUUUCUUCCUAGUUCUUUCAUGUUCUUGGAAAAGAGCCCCUCUCUCCAAAGUAUGUCCUUUAGUGCCCAAAAACCAGACUGUCUGAACUCAGCAACAUUCUAUAAGAUCUAGUGUUAGAUAAAAAGCCUUGGAGAUUCAACUGUGUACCCUCAAACAAAGGCAAUGCUAUCCGUCCAAAGUCCUGCAAGCCUGGAGGACCAUCUGAUGAUGAGAAAAAACUUCAGUCUACAUGGCCCCUUGAGCCUUUGACAUUUUCUGCUGCAUUCCUGCUAUGACUGACCACAAGGAUGUCCAUUACACCAAUGGGUUUUGUAAUGUGGAUGCUUAUCCUAGAUAUGGCACUAAGCCCACUUCACUCAUCUCUCAAAAAGCUCACCUGGAGGUUCAGUACCACUCCACAGAGGGACAGAAUUGUCUAUAUUCAGCUUGCCUGGACUAAUUGUACCCUGAUAGUAGGAAAACUUGCACCACAUCAGUGCCGGCUGUUUCCUCAAACUGGGGAGGAGAGGAAAUGGACACUUUGCUUCCCUGGAGUCAGCCCAUCCUGUUGUCUGUUCUGGCUUCAGUCUCUGCCUUUAUGAGCCUCCCUAUAAACUAUUACCUUACCUGGCCAGCAUGGUAUACUCUCUAGAUUGGGUAGUAUGUGGAAUUAAUUUUCUUUCUGUCUAAUCAAAAUGUAGAAUAUGCAUACCUCAUUAAUAAAACUUGGCUAUGAAUCCA
rnacentral:lncRNA from 1 species